rnacentral:rRNA from 1 species
UGGGGAAUAUUGGACAAUGGGCGAAAGCCUGAUCCAGCCAUGCCGCGUGAGUGAUGAAGGCCCUAGGGUUGUAAAGCUCUUUCACCGGUGAAGAUAAUGACGGUAACCGGAGAAGAAGCCCCGGCUAACUUCGCGCCAGCAGCCGCGGUAAUACGAAGGGGGCUAGCGUUGUUCGGAAUUACUGGGCGUAAAGCGCACGUAGGCGGACUAUUAAGUCAGAGGUGAAAUCCCGUGGCUCAACCCCGGAACUGCCUUUGAUACUGGUAGUCUCGAGUCCGGAAGAGGUGAGUGGAAUUCCGUGUGUAGAGGUGAAAUUCGUAGAUAUUCGGAGGAACACCAGUGGCGAAGGCGGCUCACUGGUACGGUACUGACGCUGAGGUGCGAUAGCGUGGGGAGCAAACG